GUCUCUGUGUGUGUGUCUGUCUGUAUGUUUGUGUGUGUGUACGUUUGUGUGUACGUGUGCAUGUGUGUGCAUGUGUGUGUGCGCGCGUUUGCUCGCAAGGCGUGUGAUGCGUCAGUGCAGUAGUGUUAGAGCAGUUAGUGCCUGUAGUUAGGGUAAGCAUGCUACAUAAUGCAUGCCGCAUGCUACAUGCUACAUGCUACAUGCUGCAUGCUGCAUGCUGCUCCUGCUUGCCACUCUCUGAUUUCAGCUACUGCCACCGGACAGCCCCGCGUUUUCAGGGGCGGAAAGAGGAGCCCAGUGUGUCGCCUCCUCCGCCGGUACAUAGCCUCUCCACUGCCAAGACCUCGUACACGCCUCCCCGUGGCACACAUGGUAACUGGGCCCUCGUGGUUCCAGGCUAAGUUGUACAGGAUCUCGGAGCAGCAGUGGGCCCCAGAGACGCGGCAUGCAGGCCCAUCGGUGAGUGGAAACACCCUGAUGCCCGUCAACCACUGUCCCAGCUAUGGGUAAAUAGCCCCAGCUAUGGGUAAAUAGUCAAGACCCCGACAGCGGUGCAGGAGGAAGAUGGUGGUGUGAGAGCCACCACAACUUCUGGGUGGGAGGAAGAAGGCAACCCCAUAGCCGCGUGGGUAAACUCUGGAGGGUACAGCGGCUGGGGGAGCAAACCCUGUUGCGAUGUGUAGCGGAGGCGAUAAUGAGACGACUGUGAUCACCGGGCCCAGUCCUCCCAGACUAUUUAACCCCGCCUGCCCCGAGACCGGGCGGCCGCAUCCUCCAGACGGCACACCAACAUGUUUUCUCUAUGGUAACUACUGACAACACGCACCUCACAUUCUCCAUUACAUCCGUACACCUUCAUUGAUCACUGAAACUGACAAUCACACCUCAUCGUGCUCUUGUUUGCAUCAUUAUUUAAUAAAUGUCACUUUAUUAUUGUUA